rnacentral:rRNA from 1 species
UACGGAGGGAGCUAGCGUUGUUCGGAAUUACUGGGCGUAAAGCGUGCGCAGGCGGUUUUGUAAGUCUGUCGUGAAAGCCCCGGGCUUAACCUGGGAAUUGCGAUGGAGACUGCAAGGCUUGAAUCUGGCAGAGGGGGGUAGAAUUCCACGUGUAGCAGUGAAAUGCGUAGAGAUGUGGAGGAACACCGAUGGCGAAGGCAGCCUUCUGGGCCAACACUGACGCUCAUGCACGAAAGCGUGGGGAGCAAACAGG